UACGGAGGGGGCGAGCGUUAUUCGGAAUUAUUGGGCGUAAAGGGCGCGUAGGCGGCGCGGUAAGUCAAAGGUGAAAUCCCUCGGCUCAACUGAGGAACUGCCUUUGAUACUGCCGUGCUCGAGGCCGGGAGGGGGUAGCGGAAUUCCCAGUGUAGCGGUGAAAUGCGUAGAUAUUGGGAGGAACACCAGUGGCGAAGGCGGCUACCUGGACCGGUUCUGACGCUGAUGCGCGAAAGCGUGGGUAGCAAACAGG
rnacentral:rRNA from 1 species